rnacentral:rRNA from 1 species
AGGCGACGACGGGUAGCCGGCCUGAGAGGGUGUCCGGCCACACUGGGACUGAGAUACGGCCCAGACUCCUACGGGAGGCAGCAGUGGGGAAUAUUGCACAAUGGGCGCAAGCCUGAUGCAGCGACGCCGCGUGGGGGAUGACGGCCUUCGGGUUGUAAACCUCUUUCAGUAGGGACGAAGCGCAAGUGACGGUACCUACAGAAGAAGGACCGGCCAACUACGUGCCAGCAGCCGCGGUAAUACGUAGGGUCCGAGCGUUGUCCGGAAUUACUGGGCGUAAAGAGCUCGUAGGUGGUUUGUCGCGUUGUUCGUGAAAUCUCACAACUCAAUUGUGAGCGUGCGGGCGAUACGGGCAGACUGGAGUACUGCAGGGGA